UACAUUGCAGNUCGCNUNGUACACACACGAGCAGCUAGCUCUCGGGUGACGAGUGGCGGACGGGUGAGUAAUGUCUGGGAAACUGCCUGAUGGAGGGGGAUAACUACUGGAAACGGUAGCUAAUACCGCAUAACGUCUUCGGACCAAAGUGGGGGACCUUCGGGCCUCACACCAUCGGAUGUGCCCAGAUGGGAUUAGCUAGUAGGUGGGGUAAUGGCUCACCUAGGCGACGAUCCCUAGCUGGUCUGAGAGGAUGACCAGCCACACUGGAACUGAGACACGGUCCAGACUCCUACGGGAGGCAGCAGUGGGGAAUAUUGCACAAUGGGCGCAAGCCUGAUGCAGCCAUGCCGCGUGUAUGAAGAAGGCCUUCGGGUUGUAAAGUACUUUCAGCGGGGAGGAAGGCGAUAAGGUUAAUAACCUUAUCGAUUGACGUUACCCGCAGAAGAAGCACCGGCUAACUCCGUGCCAGCAGCCGCGGUAAUACGGAGGGUGCAAGCGUUAAUCGGAAUUACUGGGCGUAAAGCGCACGCAGGCGGUCUGUCAAGUCAGAUGUGAAAUCCCCGGGCUUAACCUGGGAACUGCAUUUGAAACUGGCAGGCUAGAGUCUUGUAGAGGGGGGUAGAAUUCCAGGUGUAGCGGUGAAAUGCGUANAGAUCUGGAGGAAUACCGGUGGCGAAGGCGGCCCCCUGGACAAAGACUGACGCUCAGGUGCGAANGCGUGGGGAGCAAACAGGAUUANAUACCCUGGUAGUCCACGCCGUAACGAUG
rnacentral:rRNA from 1 species